UCUUGACCUCGGAUCAGGUAGGGAUACCCGCUGAACUUAA
rnacentral:rRNA from 3 species